rnacentral:rRNA from 1 species
UGGGGAAUAUUGCGCAAUGGGGGAAACCCUGACGCAGCGACGCCGCGUGCGGGAUGAAGGCCUUCGGGUUGUAAACCGCUUUUGAUUGGGAGCAAGCCUUUUGGGCGAGUGUACCUUUCGAAUAAGUGCCGGCUAACUACGUGCGAGCAGCCGCGGUAAUACGUAGGGCGCAAGCGUUAUCCGGAAUUAUUGGGCGUAAAGAGCUUGUAGGCGGUUCGUCGCGUCUGGUGUGAAAGCCCAUCGCUUAACGGUGGGUUUGCGCCGGGUAUGGGCGGGCUAGAGUGCAGUAGGGGAGACUGGAAUUCCCGGUGUAACGGUGGAAUGUGUAGAUAUCCGGAAGAACACCAAUGGCGAAGGCAGGUCUCUGGGCUGUUACUGACGCUGAGAAGCGAAAGCGUGGGGAGCGAACAGG